UUAACAUCCUUGUUUCUGCUAUCUUCUCAGUGUACCAAUCUGAACUCUUCAUAAGAGUUGUUUCUUUUAAUUGCAGAUUGAUCUCUGUUAAGAAUUUAUUCAUUUCAUUUAUCUGCUCCUGAAGCUCUUUCUUGAAUCUAUCACCCACAUAAGGAUCAUCUGAAAUAUCAUCGGUAAUUAUCUUCAAGUCAACACAUUGUAGGUUAAUCAACAACCUUAUUUCACAGCGAAGUUCCUCAUGUAACUUAAUUAUUGCAGGUUCCACAUCUUGAGAAGAUUGGAGAGAAAUAAAUGCUGGUUCACAUUUGUCAAUCAUUGUCCUUGUUUCUGCUAUCUUGUUACGGUACCAAUCAGAAUUCGUCUCAGGAAUUUUUUCUAGUAACUGCACUUUGACCUUUUCUAAGAAUUGAUCCACUUCAUUUAUCCGCUGCAAAGCAUCUUUAGGUUUAUAUAGCUGACGAUCAUUUGUUGAAUGAAAGAGAGUACGCUGAGCAUAAUAUAUGUUAAUCAGCGAUGCUAUUUCAUAGUAGAGUUCUUCACGUAAUGAAAGUGGUACCAUAUUUAUUGAGGAAGAUCCAACAUCGCUUAAUCUUCCAAAAGUAAAAUUUGGGCCACGUUUGGCACACAAGUCCCUUAUUCUUGAUAUCAUGUAAUUGCACCAAUUGGAAUUUGUGUAAAGACUUUUAUCUAAAGCUUCCACUGCUAAGGCACUCUUUAAGAAUUUAUCCACUUCAUUUAUCCACACUGCAACUUCAAAGAAAUGUUUAUUUUGAUAAAUUCCUAUUGUAACAGAGGUCCAACGGUCUUCAUUUUGCUUCAUAACCAGCUCUG
rnacentral:lncRNA from 1 species